rnacentral:rRNA from 1 species
AUUGAACGCUGGCGGCAGGCCUAACACAUGCAAGUCGAGCGAGCGGCGGACGGGUGAGUAAUGUCUGGGAAACUGCCUGAUGGCGGGGGAUAACUACUGGAAACGGUAGCUAAUACCGCAUACCAUCAGAUGUGCCCAGAUGGGAUUAGCUGGUAGGUGGGGUAACGGCUCACCUAGGCGGCGAACCCUAGCUGGGCUGAGAGGCUGACCAGCCACACGGGAACUGAGACACGGUCCAGACUCCUGCGGGAGGCAGCAGUGGGGAAUAUGGGGCAAUGGGCGCAAGCCUGAUGCAGCGAUGCCGAGUGUGUGGAGAAGGCCUUCGGGUUGUAAAGCACUUUCAGCGGGGAGGCGUUACCCGCAGAAGAAGCACCGGCUAACUCCGUGCCAGCAGCCGCGGUAAUAC